rnacentral:rRNA from 1 species
GACGAACGCUGGCGGCGUGCUUAACACAUGCAAGUCGAACGGAAAGGCCCUGCUUUUGUGGGGUGCUCGAGUGGCGAACGGGUGAGUAACACGUGAGUAACCUGCCCUUGACUUUGGGAUAACUUCAGGAAACUGGGGCUAAUACCGGAUAGGAGCUCCUGCUGCAUGGUGGGGGUUGGAAAGUUUCGGCGGUUGGGGAUGGACUCGCGGGUUAUCAGCUUUUUGGUGGGGUAGUGGCUUACCAAGGCUUUGACGGGUAGCCGGCCUGAGAGGGUGACCGGCCACAUUGGGACUGAGAUACGGCCCAGACUCCAACGGGAGGCAGCAGUGGGGAAUAUUGCACAAUGGGCGGAAGCCUGAUGCAGCAACGCCGCGUGCGGGAUGACGGCCUUCGGGUUGUAAACCGCUUUCGCCUGUGACGAAGCGUGAGUGACGGUAAUGGGUAAAGAAGCACCGGCUAACUACGUG